rnacentral:tRNA from 1 species
GGGAGUGUGGCGGAACUGGCAGACGCACAGGACUUAAAAUCCUGCGACCCUUAAAAGUCGUACCGGUUCGAUUCCGGUCAUUCCCACCA